rnacentral:rRNA from 1 species
AACGCGAAGAACCUUACCAGGCCUUGACAUCCAAUGAACUUUCUAGAGAUAGAUUGGUGCCUUCGGGAACAUUGAGACAGGUGCUGCAUGGCUGUCGUCAGCUCGUGUCGUGAGAUGUUGGGUUAAGUCCCGUAACGAGCGCAACCCUUGUCCUUAGUUACCAGCACGUAAUGGUGGGCACUCUAAGGAGACUGCCGGUGACAAACCGGAGGAAGGUGGGGGUGACGUCAAGUCAUCAUGGCCCUUACGGCCUGGGCUACACACGUGCUACAAUGGUCGGUACAGAGGGUUGCCAAGCCGCGAGGUGGAGCUAAUCCCAUAAAACCGAUCGUAGUCCGGAUCGCAGUCUGCAACUCGACUGCGUGAAGUCGGAAUCGCUAGUAAUCGCGAAUCAGAAUGUCGCGGUGAAUACGUUCCCGGGCCUUGUACACACCG